GGUUAAGCGACUAAGCGUACACGGUGGAUGCCCUGGCAGUCAGAGGCGAUGAAGGACGUGCUAAUCUGCGAAAAGCGUCGGUAAGGUGAUAUGAACCGUUAUAACCGGCGAUGUCCGAAUGGGGAAACCCAGUGUGAUUCGUCACACUAUCGUUAACUGAAUACAUAGGUUAACGAGGCGAACCGGGGGAACUGAAACAUCUAAGUACCCCGAGGAAAAGAAAUCAACCGAGAUUCCCCCAGUAGCGGCGAGCGAACGGGGAGCAGCCCAGAGUCUGAAUCAGCUUGUGUGUUAGUGGAACGGUCUGGAAAGUCCGACGGUACAGGGUGAUAGUCCCGUACACCAAAAUGCACAGGCUGUGAACUCGAAGAGUAGGGCGGGACACGUGGUAUCCUGUCUGAAUAUGGGGGGACCAUCCUCCAAGGCUAAAUACUCCUGACUGACCGAUAGUGAACCAGUACCGUGAGGGAAAGGCGAAAAGAACCCCGGCGAGGGGAGUGAAAAAGAACCUGAAACCGUGUACGUACAAGCAGUGGGAGCACCUUCGGGUGUGACUGCGUACCUUUUGUAUAAUGGGUCAGCGACUUAUAUUCUGUAGCAAGGUUAACCGUAUAGGGGAGCCGCAGGGAAACCGAGUCUUAACUGGGCGUUAAGUUGCAGGGUAUAGACCCGAAACCCGGUGAUCUAGCCAUGGGCAGGUUGAAGGUUGGGUAACACUAACUGGAGGACCGAACCGACUAAUGUUGAAAAAUUAGCGGAUGACUUGUGGCUGGGGGUGAAAGGCCAAUCAAACCGGGAGAUAGCUGGUUCUCCCCGAAAGCUAUUUAGGUAGCGCCUCGUGAAUUCAUCUUCGGGGGUAGAGCACUGUUUCGGCUAGGGGGUCAUCCCGACUUACCAACCCGAUGCAAACUACGAAUACCGAAGAAUGUUAUCACGGGAGACACACGGCGGGUGCUAACGUCCGUCGUGAAGAGGGAAACAACCCAGACCGCCAGCUAAGGUCCCAAAGUCAUGGUUAAGUGGGAAACGAUGUGGGAAGGCACAGACAGCCAGGAUGUUGGCUUAGAAGCAGCCAUCAUUUAAAGAAAGCGUAAUAGCUCACUGGUCGAGUCGGCCUGCGCGGAAGAUGUAACGGGGCUAAACCAUGCACCGAAGCUGCGGCAGCGACACUAUGUGUUGUUGGGUAGGGGAGCGUUCUGUAAGCCUGCGAAGGUGACCUGUGAGGGUUGCUGGAGGUAUCAGAAGUGCGAAUGCUGACAUAAGUAACGAUAAAGCGGGUGAAAAGCCCGCUCGCCGGAAGACCAAGGGUUCCUGUCCAACGUUAAUCGGGGCAGGGUGAGUCGACCCCUAAGGCGAGGCUGAAAGGCGUAGUCGAUGGGAAACAGGUUAAUAUUCCUGUACUUGGUGUUACUGCGAAGGGGGGACGGAGAAGGCUAUGUUAGCCGGGCGACGGUUGUCCCGGUUUAAGCAUGUAGGCUGAUUGUCCAGGCAAAUCCGGAUAAUCAAGGCUGAGGUGUGAUGACGAGGCACUACGGUGCUGAAGUAACAAAUGCCCUGCUUCCAGGAAAAGCCUCUAAGCAUCAGGUAACAUUAAAUCGUACCCCAAACCGACACAGGUGGUCAGGUAGAGAAUACCAAGGCGCUUGAGAGAACUCGGGUGAAGGAACUAGGCAAAAUGGUGCCGUAACUUCGGGAGAAGGCACGCUGGUGUGUAGGUGAAGUCCCUGCGGAUGGAGCUGAGACCAGUCGAAGAUACCAGCUGGCUGCAACUGUUUAUUAAAAACACAGCACUGUGCAAACACGAAAGUGGACGUAUACGGUGUGACGCCUGCCCGGUGCCGGAAGGUUAAUUGAUGGGGUUAUCCGUAAGGAGAAGCUCUUGAUCGAAGCCCCGGUAAACGGCGGCCGUAACUAUAACGGUCCUAAGGUAGCGAAAUUCCUUGUCGGGUAAGUUCCGACCUGCACGAAUGGCGUAAUGAUGGCCAGGCUGUCUCCACCCGAGACUCAGUGAAAUUGAACUCGCUGUGAAGAUGCAGUGUACCCGCGGCAAGACGGAAAGACCCCGUGAACCUUUACUAUAGCUUGACACUGAACAUUGAGCCUUGAUGUGUAGGAUAGGUGGGAGGCUUUGAAGCGUGGACGCCAGUCUGCGUGGAGCCAACCUUGAAAUACCACCCUUUAAUGUUUGAUGUUCUAACGUUGGCCCCUUACCGGGGUUGCGGACAGUGUCUGGUGGGUAGUUUGACUGGGGCGGUCUCCUCCCAAAGCGUAACGGAGGAGCACGAAGGUUAGCUAAUCCUGGUCGGACAUCAGGAGGUUAGUGCAAUGGCAUAAGCUAGCUUGACUGCGAGCGUGACGGCGCGAGCAGGUGCGAAAGCAGGUCAUAGUGAUCCGGUGGUUCUGAAUGGAAGGGCCAUCGCUCAACGGAUAAAAGGUACUCCGGGGAUAACAGGCUGAUACCGCCCAAGAGUUCAUAUCGACGGCGGUGUUUGGCACCUCGAUGUCGGCUCAUCACAUCCUGGGGCUGAAGUAGGUCCCAAGGGUAUGGCUGUUCGCCAUUUAAAGUGGUACGCGAGCUGGGUUUAGAACGUCGUGAGACAGUUCGGUCCCUAUCUGCCGUGGGCGCUGGAGAAUUGAGGGGGGCUGCUCCUAGUACGAGAGGACCGGAGUGGACGCAUCACUGGUGUUCGGGUUGUCAUGCCAAUGGCACUGCCCGGUAGCUAAAUGCGGAAGAGAUAAGUGCUGAAAGCAUCUAAGCACGAAACUUGCCCCGAGAUGAGUUCUCCCUGAGACUUUAAGUCUCCUGAAGGAACGUUGAAGACGACGACGUUGAUAGGCCGGGUGUGUAAGCGCAGCGAUGCGUUGAGCUAACCGGUACUAAUGAACCGUGAGGCUUAACCUU
rnacentral:rRNA from 1 species